rnacentral:rRNA from 1 species
CAGGCAGGCGUGCCCUCGGCCAAAAGGCCUCGGGCGCAACUUGCGUUCAAAGACUCGAUGGUUCGCGGGAUUCUGCAAUUCACACCAGGUAUCGCAUUUCGCUACGUUCUUCAUCGAUGCGAGAGCCGAGAUAUCCGUUGCCGAGAGUCGUGUGGAUUAAAUAGCGUUGCAACACGGGGGGCGACCAGCAAGCAAGCCGCGUCCCCGGGUUAGGCACAGUUUUCCUUGACGCCUUCGGCGCCGUGGGUUCUUUUACCCCGAGCCACU